rnacentral:rRNA from 1 species
AGAGUUUGAUCCUGGCUCAGGACGAACGCUGGCGGCAUGCUUAACACAUGCAAGUGGUGCGACGAACCUUUUAGGGGCAAAGCCGCGAACGGGUGAGUAACACGUGGGCAAUCUGCCCAGUAGACCGGAAUAACUCAAGGAAACCUGAGCUAAUACCGGAUGUGCCGUACUUCCAUAAGGAGGUCCGGUAAAGAGAGCUUCGGCUAUUCGCUAUUGGAGGAGCCUGCGGAGUAUUAGGUAGUUGGUGGGGUAAAGGCCUACCAAGCCGACGAUACUUAGCUGGUCUGAGAGGACGAUCAGCCACACUGGAACUGAGACACGGUCCAGACUCCUACGGGAGGCAGCAGUGGGGAAUCUUGCACAAUGGGCGACAGCCUGAUGCAGCAAUGCCGCGUGAGGGAAGACGGCCUUCGGGUUGUAAACCUCUUUCAGUUGGGAAGAAGGGUGGACGGUUAAUAGCCGGCUCACUUGACGGUACCUUCAGAAGAAGCUCCGGCUAACUACGUGCCAGCAGCCGCGGUAAUACGUAGGGAGCAAGCGUUGUCCGGAAUCAUUGGGCGUAAAGCGCGUGUAGGCGGUUACAUAAGUCUGUUGUGAAAGUCGGAGGCUCAACCUUCGAAAGCCGAUGGAUACUGUGUGACUUGAGUACGGGAGAGGAUAGUGGAAUUUCGAGUGUAGGGGUGAAAUCCGUAGAUAUUCGAAGGAACACCGGUGGCGAAGGCGGCUAUCUGGACCGAUACUGACGCUGAGACGCGAAAGCGUGGGGAGCAAACAGGAUUAGAUACCCUGGUAGUCC